rnacentral:lncRNA from 1 species
UUUACAUGGAAUACCAUCUUGCACCCCUGUAAGAUAAACAUCAAUGCAAGGGAUGAUUCAGAAGAAAAAAUAGCAAAUGUAACUAAUGAGCUCCAAUGAUGAAACUUGAAGAACAUAUGGAGGUCAAUUUACUCACUUGCAUGACAUAUUGAUACGACCCAAAUCCAUAAAAAGAUGACCAUAAAUGCCAACCUUGAAGGGUCAUCUCAACAAAAAAAAGAAGAUGUCAUCAAUAGGAGGAACGAUCAAGGACCAAAGCACUUGAAGUUCUUCCUAUUCGUGUUCUUGACAUUGAGGCCCAAGCCCAAGAAGCCCAAGUUGGGGCCAAACCCAACCCAUGAGCUCAACAUCCUUCAUACCUCAAAGGAUUACUGGGAGCAAGGUCAAGGCUUUGGAAGAUGAGCUAGUUUUUUAGUAGAACAUAAAAGGAAGAUGUAGAUAUAACGGGUGACAAUAUACAAAGAUAAGUCGCACCUUCCAUAUGACAUAGAAAGAAGGUGUAGGUGUAGAUUUAAGAGGUGUCAAAGCAAGAAACCAAGUCACACCUCCCUUGUGACUUGGAAUAGGCGCCAAAUUCAAAUAGAAAGAUGAAAACAAAGUGCAACACAACAAGGAGGCUUAAGGAAACAUCAAUGGAGUUCAAUGCCUUCCAAAUGAUGAACCAAACUCAUGAACAUGAGUGCCAUCUCCUUACACAACAAAAAAUGAAUAGAAAACUAGAAUUGAAUGCGGAAACUAAAGGAAAAGCAAGAACAGCACAUUAAACCAAAUAGAAUAACAACACAAGACAAAUGAACCGAUUAAAAAGGAAGACAACACAAAAUAACCGAAUAGAAAUGAAGAACAAGACAAGUAUAGGUGCGGAAAUGGAAAUGGAAGAUGAAGCAAGAACUUAUGUGGUUGAAGCCAUGGAAGGGAAGAACACGCUACUUGGAAGGUGAUUGAUCCAAGAUAAGUGCAAGAAUGCCGCCACUUGAGACACUCACAAGAUGAGACAAGAUUAGGAGAACAAUUCUCACAACUCACAAAAUUGUGUAUAGUAAUUUUACUUCAAAUUCAAUGUGAUUUUACAUGAGCAUGGCACCUCCAUUUUUAGUGUGAGAGGACUGAAAUUAAAGUGGGAAAAUCAAAUGAAACACAUUUGAAUUUGGCGUCUAUUCCAAGUCACAAGGCACGUGUGACUUGGUUUCUUACUUUGGCACCUCCUAAAUCUACACCUACACCUUCUUUCUAUGUUACAUGGAAGGUGCGACUUAUCUUUGUACAUUGUCACCCGUUAUAUCUAUAUCUACCCCUUCCUUUUAUGUUCUACUAAAAAAACACUCAAAAGAAAUUACAAAAAAAGACAUCCAUUGAUGCUCAUCUUCCAAAGCCUUGGCCUUGCUCCUAGUAAUCCUUUGAGGUAUGAAGGAUGUUGAGCUCAUAAAAUUUCCACUAACCUUGGCCCCUGACAAUUUUCCCUUCUAAACCUUCUCGAGACCUUUAUAUUCGUAUCUUCUAUCCCGGAAACUUGAAUCAGUUAGCACAAAACAAGGACUUAGAACAACACAACAAACAAAAUAAAAAUGUGGAGUAGAAAUUUAAAGAAAUUCUCUAAGGUUAACACUCUCUAUCUAUGUUCCUCAGAUUGUGAAUAUAUAUAAGGAGAUGCAUUCUGCUUCUAACUACAAAUGCAAAGGUUAACUUUAUUGUUCGAAAUUAAUCUUCAAUGAUCUUCACUGACCUGCGAACAGUGUCAACAUAAAAUGGAUUUUCACGCAUGCAGAUUCCCGGUUCAUGAACUUCAGUUACAGGUUUGUCGAGUACCCACUUAUAUGCAUGUGGAAUCCACCAAGAUUUAGCAAUCAUACAUUAUUUAAUCAAACACAUUCAAUGAAACAGCCAUAACCUUCUAGCAGUAUUUCUUUAAACAAUCUUUCAGUCUUGAUUGUUCUCAGAAUCAUCAACAAACUCUGAUUCAAUCUGUGUCUUUAAAGCAUAGAAGUCACUGAAGGAUUUCAAAUAAAAGUGUCAAUCAUUUAUUAAUUUUCCAAAAAUGUGCUCAAAAGAUCUACAGAACAGGAAACAUUAAGUGAAAAUAAAAUUACACCGUUUCUUUGCCAUGAAUGUUUCUCCACACCAGACCCACUUAAGCUUACGUAGGCAAGUCUUUCCAGGACGAUUAAAAUCACAUGCAGUGCAGACUUCAUGAGCAACAAUUGAUGGUGGUUGCAAACAUGAAUGAGAAGAACGGGAGGUUCAUAUUUAUCAGAAUUUCAAAAUUCAUGAUGACAAUCCUAGUAGGACAUAUCAAGCAGAAAACAACAACCAUAUCCUUAACAACAACUAAAUGUUUGCCAUAAAAAGCUAAGAAAUUGCUGUGAUAAUGUGGUGAGAUGCAUUGCCUCUGUCAACAAUAAUCACAAGUGUGUAAGACCACAACAAACUCCAUGCCACCAGCUGAGUAUUUUUAGGUACACCAGGGACUACAUGAAUGCCAUUUUCUCAAACUGCAUAUUAUAGUCAUCCUCUUAUCUUUUACUAGUCUUAUUCACAUUAUUUUGAAAAAACAUCUAAGAAAAAUAGGAGAACACUGGUGAUAUUUUAAAACGUACAUAUUCAAAUUAGUCAUGUAACACAGUGUAAUGCAGGAACAGAAGAAUUCAAACAGAUAAACACGUUCUCUGUUUUGAUAAUUAAAUUCUUCAAUCUAUAGUAGUGGUAAAGGCUUAUUUUUAAUUAGUAAAACUCCUAUCCACAACAACUUAUUAUAAAGACAGCAUAAUCUCAUAGUUUGAUAAUUAGACUCCCAGACAAAGCAUUGAUGGAAAACUGAGAUUUUCCCCAUUAAUAGGUCAUAGUUGACAGUUGUCAGUCCAUUUCUUUAUAUUAGGUCUAUCUCUUCAUCCAUUUGCAUCAACAGCUUCUGAGAAUUCUUAUGUUUUAGUUGGUGUUGGGUACUAAACCUAUUAUCAGUCAGGUUCUACAUUGAGACCUCAUGAAAUUUAGCUAAAUUGGCAGCAUGUGCAAUUGAAGUACGACUAUGCAUUUUCAUUAAGUGUUAUGCUCUAAUCCAGCCAGAAAAAUACUCAAGGAAUUCCAGGGUAGUGUGUUAGGAACCAAGAAUUAUAAAGAGAAGAAAAAAAAGGUUUUUAUUGAAUAGAAAGAAAAGAACAAGAAAGAGGAGAGCACUCUCUCCUUCAAG